rnacentral:lncRNA from 1 species
AGAUGAGUAGAUUGCAAAAAUGUUCUCCCAUUCUUUAGGUUGCCGGUUCACUCUGAUGGUAGUUUCUUUUGCUGUGCAGAAGCUCUUCAGUUUAAUUAGAUACCAUUUGUCAAUUUUGGCUUUUAUUGCCAUUGCUUUUGGAUAAUACACCUUAUUUCUAAGGCAGUUCUCUCUAGUUUUUUUCUUUUUGGAUUUUUUUUCUUUAGAGAGAUAUUUGUAAACUAUUUUUGAGGUUUAUUUUUGUCUUAUUUUUGUUUUUGUUGUAUUUGAAAAUCUACCAGAGGCCAUGUACAAGUUUAAAAGAAAUCUAUUAUUAUCUAGGGUAUACCAUUGGCUUCAUUAGAGAGAGAAUGUGGAAGGGGUAGAACAGUGUAUCCACCUCAAUACACCAGGACAACAUAUUUUCCCCAGAACAUCAACAGAAUGAGAAUAAAUGCAGAUCCAAAAUCCUAUAAGGAACGUUCAGAUUCAUUGUUCUGAAACUGUCAAAUACUACAUGAUCUUAAAAUAAAUGUGUCAUGGAUAGAGACUAAAUAUUUUACAUUCUAAGUGUUAUAAAGUAAUGAAAUAUUUUUAAUAAUUAAAUAUGUUCUGCUUUCAAUUUCAUAAGAUUCUUCUUUGGUGAAGCUCAAUUACUGUCAUACUUAUCAUCUCAACUCCAUAACAUUCCUUUGCACUUGAUCCUAAAAUUUCUCAAAUGACUUUUAAAUGAAAAAGUGUUAGAAUCCAGUCCACAAAUAAAUGUGAAUUUGUAAGAAAUGCUUGAGAGAGGCAAAAAUGUGAUACAUUAAUACCAUUUGAUUGCAUUUUAAACAAUUUGUUGUUGAUGGACGUUCCUCAUACAACUACAAAUUGUCAAAAAAAUCUUUUUCAUCUAAUAUUUUUCAGAAUAAUUUAUAAGUGCCAAAACAUUCUAUAAAGUGAAGAUUCCUCUUGCUGUCUUUCUCCAACUGUUUUUUUUCUAAACAUUUUAAUCCUGCAAAUAAAUUUUAUUUUAAACAUUGACUUAACUACAUUAUUUCAACUUCCAGAGAUAAGAUUUCAUUUCCAAGUGCUCCAAAUAUGGAUUUAACUCCUGGUCAUUUAUAUGUUGGUCCAAGUAGAGGACAAGAUGAAACCAGUUGCAUUUUUUUUCCUUUUAGAUGCUUGCAGCCACUCAAUGACAUCACAUAGCUGUCUGAGGCUCUAGAAGGUGCUCUGCUGCUAAAAGGAGCAUUAUAAAGAGUGUUUGAAUACCUCCAUGGGAACAGAAAAGCAAUGUGUGUGGAAGGAUAUUCAACAAUGUGUUGUUGGAAGACCAAGUGCAUUUUGCUGAAAACCUCCAUAACAAGAACAGAGACUUGGAAGAAGAGAUUCAAAGAGGAUAAAUAUAUAUUAAAUAGAUUCAACUGCUUAUUUGGGAAGAUCUUUACUAUACUAGAUACUGUUUUACUUUGUCUUAACAUAUGUAUUACACUGAUUCAACUUCUUAUCAUAAAUGGAAUAUGGUUGUUUUUUCUGUCAAUAAAUAGAUCCAUGCUUCAUAUUAAGGGAAUGAACUUUGAAGUCAGACAAACCUGGGUUUAUAUCCUUGUACUACCAAUUAUUAAUUCUGUUAUUUGGGACAAUGUGCUUAAACAUUCUAAAUCUCAGUUUCCUUUUCAAAUCAAUAAUAGUAACUACUUCAUAGAGUUACACUAAAGAUUCAACAAGAUAAUCUAUAGAAAGUACUUAGCACAUAUUUGAACCAUGAUAAGUACUACAUAAAUGAUAGCUACUAUCGGAGACCUAUAGCAAUCCCUUUUGAAAGAGUUCUUUCACACAAUAAUUCCAUUUGAAGCCUUUUGAUUAACAUAUAACAAUGCUCGGCUUACGUUUCUGCAGUUUAUUGUUAAAUGAUCACCACAUUUCUUAUUCACUAUGAUUUUCUGGUCAACAUAUGAGGAUUCCAAUUAGCAGUUACAACGAACCUGUAAGUUCCCAGAAUUACUGAAAAUGUUUUAUUCGUAAGCAAAAUGUUUGCAGUGAGCCUUUUAGUUUUGUGUUACCAGCUUUAGCACUAAAUACUUUGCAAGCAACGCAUGUAAAGGCUGUGAGCAACCAACUAAGAAAUCACACAAGUUGCUAUAGGAUCAUCCCAGUGCAUGUAACCAGCUCCUAUCAUAUUUGUCUCAUAUAUUUACAAAGCUGUUUCUUCCCCUUAGUAGUUCCUAGGCAUGCCUCGAUUAAUCACUAAAGGAGUCAUUAGGUAACAUCUGCCAUAAAAAUGCUCCCCAGAUGAUCAAAUAGCAAAACUAUAAAAUGCCAUAGAGCAGACACUGGGCCUUCAAAAACCUAAGAUUCAAGGCUUUAACUCUCAAGAAACUUCUAAUAUCUUUGACAUGACGCAACCUGUGAUUUUUCUACAGCACAGAUUUGCUCACUCUGAUACUCUUUGAGUAUGAUAUGUAGGAAUGAGUGGCUUAACUAGCAAGGUGAGCCUCACAGUAAUGUCAGCAUCCUUUAGUGUUCUCUCUCCAUCUUCAUGCAUAUAUAUUGUUUUUAUGUAGAUGUCCAUUUACUGACAAUUGUGUAAUAUACAAUGUAUACUCGCCUAUAAGUAUAGCUGAGACAUUUCUUGCUCAUCUCAAUAGAAAUGCACCUCUCAUAUGUAACAAAAUCAGUAUAGCUCAAGCUAGGACUACUUACACAAAUAGGUAGGACUGAAUGUAACAUGUUAUAGGGUUUUUUUUAAAAAAAACCUUUUAGACAUAAUUUUGAAAAUCAAUUUGUCCAGAUAUUAUACUGUCAAUGAGAUAUUCUAAUAUAAUAUCUAAUAUAAUGUGUCAAUGAGAUAUUCUAAUAUAAUAUAUGAGUCUGAGUUACUUUGUGGCUCUAUUCUGCAAUGUCAUAAGAAAUGCUGACCCUUUUCUAUCAUGAUGCUUUGCUAGUCCUAGGCAGUUGACUUCAUUUGAAUGGUCCAGUAGACUCACCACUAGAUCCCCAUCCCUGCCAACAGGGAGGGGGUAAGGAAGAAGAAGACAACAUGCCUCAUCUCCUUAGACCUAGAAAUUGCACACAUUUUUAUAUCUCUUUACGUCUCACUCACCAGAACUUAGUUACAUGGUCACUCAGCCCGCAGGGGAGGCUGGAAACAUCAUCUUAACUAUUACAAUGAAAAAUGUGAAGAUAUCAAGGGACAACCACAGUGUCUGCUACUCAGCAUGACUGUAAUUUUAAAUGUGAAGAGAUAAAUGUCACUCAAAAUAAAUGCAUUUUAAAGGUAUUUCGAUAAGUAUUCACUUUCUUUUAGUGUGAAACAUAAUGAAAAUGGAAUACAUGAAGAUAAUAAGUGGUUAUACUAAAUAUUCUUGAUUUCAAAAACCAGAAAUGUUGUUGUAUUUCUCUCAAUGGCACUGAACUAAUGUUUUGGUGUUACUUGUGCUUCUCAGCCCCCCAUUCAUAGGAGUAUCCCUUACUUUAUUGGGUCCUAAUUUCUAAUAGUGAAGAUCAGAGAAACAGUCCAAUAUGAAAGGAUAAUAGACUAUUCAACAUGUAAAUAAAUAACAAAUGAUGGAAUGAUCCACUGGGUAUACAUCUUGAAUACAGAACAACCUGUUGCUCAUACCUAGCCCCGUGCUCUGUACACACUCAACCCUGGAGAAAUGACAUGAACUCCAUGAAUGCAUAUGACCUAGCUGUGGGUCUCAACAUGAUGAAAGAAAAAGAGUUAAGGGUGUGGAAAAGGGUUGGUCUCCUUGAAGCAUUCCAUUCUCAUGAACUAUGCAGAUUUGACAAGAUGUGACUUCUUACCUAUGUGGUGGAAAAAGGUGUGGUAAACAGCCCACUUGACAUGCUGUUAUUUCUUGCUUUUCUUUUCUUUUUAUUAUAGCCUUUCCAAAUGACCUUGAGAGGAAAUUUCACAACCAUUUAGCUUUUUUUCUCUGAAUAUAUGGUGCUUCUUCUAUGGUACAGUGAUAUACUUUAUCAUUAGCUAUAAUGACUGCUUUGUUUGUUUUUGUUUAAAAUUGUAUUCUUACUUUAGGCUAGGUUAUAUCAUUUUUUAAACUGUCUCAGUGAAGUAUUUAUUGAGUAACCACAAAUAAAACAGUCUAAAUCUUUAUCCUUCAUUCAUUAUAAAACUGUGUUUUAAGAGUUUUCUAUGCAAAAAGCACUAUCUUAACAUGUCCCUCAUAAAAUUGUUCCUUCCUCAGUUAUCCUUGGGUAAAUAGCACUGUCUCAUUGGACCCUUCUCAGGACAAAAGCACCACAGACAACCUUAAGUCCUCUCUUUCCUUCACAUCCACCUCCCAUUAUCCACCUCCCAUCAUCCAAAAAUCAGGCUGGCAUAACCCCUGAUAUGUAUCCCAAAGCUGAUGAUUUCUCACCCUCUGCACUGCUGAAACCCUGCUCUCUUAUCUGAAACUCCUAGGCCUUCCCAGCAGGCCCCUUCCACUCUUGCUCCCAAUAAUUUAUUAUGCUCUUGAUAAUCUUUCUAAAGCAUAAAUGGUAUCAUGGCACAUCUGUGCUAAAAAUCCUGCAGUCCUUUCCUGCUACAAUUGGAAUAAAAUGCUAAUUUUUUUACUUUGUUUACAAGAUUCUGCAAAAACUGACUGACCCCUGUCUUUCCAACCUCAUCUUUUGUACCCCUCCCUCAUCCCAUUCAGUUUAUUCUAAGUAUUCAGACAAAGCUUAUUUCUUUCAUGGGGACUUUGCACCUUUAUUUCCUCUGCCUGACUUAUUCCCCCUCAAGAUGGUGACCUGGCUGGCCUCAUUUCCUCCUUUGGGUCUCAGCUCUAAGGUCACCAUCUCUGAGAAGUCUUCUCUGAACACCCCAGCCAAAAUAGGAUGGACAAGAGUUGGAAUAAUCACACUCUAAAGAUAAGGCUGCCCACUAUAUAAUACCAAUUAUCAU